GGAAUGAGGGCGAUCUGGCUGCGACAUCUGUCACCCCGUUGAUCGCCAGGGUUCAUUCUGCUGCUCUGGCUGGCGAGGCGGGUGUCCCCAUCCUCCCUCACCGCUCCACGUGCGUCCCUCCCGAAGCCGCGCGCUGGGUCGAAGAGGUUGACCUUCCCCGCCAGAGGAGGACCGGUCUUCGGUCAGGGGUAUACGAGCAGCUGCGCUCCCCUGCUAGAACCUCCAAACAAGCUCUCAAGGUCCAAAGAAGCCUUAUUUGACUUGCUAACAGCCCCAAGUCACACAGGCAGCGACACUGGUGAUUUGACUGCAGUG
rnacentral:snRNA from 1 species